AUAGAAACAUAGAAAGAAAACAACAUGAAGAUCGAAGUUGCUAAAAGAUAGAAAAGGUAAUACAGAAAUACAGGUUUGCAAUGGUUGUGUAAAUCACUACAACAUACAGAACAAAAUGCACAAACAAACAGUGCACAUUCUCAUUUACUUUUUAAGACUGCAGGACAAGAGUUCAAGUCUGCACAAAUUCAAAUGUCAUCUAAGAGGAUUCUGACAAAAAGGUACAUUCAUCAUGUGCAGAAAGCUAUUAAGCGCAAAUAAACAAUGAAUAGAAAACAGUAGCAUGUAUUCAAAUGACUGAAGAGAGUAAGGUGAGCCAGGUGAAAAAGAAAAUAUGUCGUCUUAAGGAAAGAAGGUGGAUAAAGAAAAAAGGCUGCAGUUCGAAAAAAAACCAAAAAGACAGGAGCAGCAGCAUCUCGGAUGACCUGGCUCUACUUGCUUGGCAGACGGGGUGAUGGGGUGAGGAAAAGGAGGUGGAGUGGAGGAGGAGGAAAAAAAGAAGGCAGGGGAAGGGAGGGAUGAAGAGUCAGAGAGGCGAAAGUGGUCUCACCAUAGUACUUGGCAGCACUGAGAAAGAUGGCGGACAGAUGUUGUCCCCCGUCUUCAGUGGUUGGACCGCCCGAGUUUCGACCCCAAACAUCGGGAAGUGAACACAACUCAGAGCUACAUUAGUGCGUACAUAUGUGUGUGUAUGUGUGUGCAGUUACUGUAACUGUGUAUGGGACAGAUGGUUUUCUAAAAAAAGGAUUAAAUAUGAGAAAGCCUUUGCACCUAUAAAAAAAAGUGUUAAUGUUUUAACUGCUGGUUUGUACCUACUUGUACCCACUUGUCUGCACAUUGACAAGGCUGUAUCAACUGUGUUAAUGCAGUUCAGGAAAACUGAAGAACUCAACACAAGUUUGUUUUAGUUUUUUUUUCUUAAAUAUCACAGUGAGGCAGUUUCUUAGAAAACCUUCUUCUUUAUUAUAGACAGAAACUUAUUUAGCAUAAACACAGCCAUCCCUUUCAUGGUGAAAAACAAGACAUGGCUCCCACCCAAUGUAAUGAAAAACACAUCUGUUAUACAGAAAGCUUUGGCUCGAAUCAUAAAACUUGGAACAAGAAAGAAUGCAUGUAUAUCCACUUGGGAGAAUGGGUAAAGAAAAAAAAGGAAAUGUUUGUGAAGGAGGAAUGGACUGAAAAGUACGGGUAGUGGGCAAAUGUAUGUGUUUGUGUGUGGACGGCAAGGAAGGAGUGGGUGGGGGAUUGGGGGAGUCAGCUCUGCGCCAAGGUCAACAAAAGCCUGAAAAGCUCACUUACGUGGCCCAUGUGUUUUUCUGUGUUCUGUAUGUAUGUAUUAUGUAUGUAUGUGUAUGUGUGUAUGUGUGUGUGUGUGUGUUUGCUCACUUGUGCAAACUUUUGCAGCCCCUUUGCAGAGCUAAAAACUGCAUCUUUAUGUCAGAUUAGGAAGAAAACCAAGAAGCGCACUCUGCUAAUGGGACUGUGAUGUAUCAAGAAUACAAGGAGUGGUGGUAUGGUAGUAGAAAUACAGUCUUCAUUUUAAGAAGCUAUAUAUUUGACAGCUGUAGUUAUGAGUUCUUUGCAGGAAAACGUACACAUCAAAUAUGAGUACAUUAAAUAUACUGCAUUAUCUGAGUUAAUGUUACAGAUAUGAACAUGUUGGCUUCAAAGCAUGUUUAUUUAAAAACAAAAAAACUUUCUCCUACAGCGGUAUUAUGAGCUGUAAAAAUCGGAUCCUUAGUUGGUCUGGCAGUAAUUGCAACCUUUUCAAAUUGCAAACCAACAAGUAUGGAGUCUAAUGCCCCACCAGUGCUCAGUCAAGAAAUAUCCUCUGCCAGACAGCAAGCAAUACAUUAACUGCAGUGUGUGAUACACAACUGGUAGUGCACACACUUAUUUUUUGGAGCUAGCCACCACUAAAAAGAAUCAACAGCAUUAAUGUUUUGAAGCUUUCCAAGGACUUGUAAAAAAUUUUAUAGGGCUUUAUGCAAUCUCAGGGGAAGCUGGAGUCGCUGUGGGCUGCUGGUAUUUUGUAAGCUUGUAAAAGCAAAAGAACAUUUGAGAAGGAAUUGUGGGUACGACAUGUUCCAGUCCAAUGAACUUCUGAGACAUUUAUUCCUGUGAUAUUUGCCCAUCAGUAACUGGCAGAUUCUCAAGUUAUGGACAAAACAGGUCACCAUUAAUUGAGUUCCUUAAAAAGAAGCCAUUUGUAAGUUUUGCUAUUGCUGCAUAGUCGAUGUUAGCAUUAACAGCUGUUUAGUUACCAGUCUAGAAGAAAUGUUGCAAGUUCAGAAGAAAGGUAGUUAGUUCAGUCCUUUGCUUGCCAAGAGCUGUCUGCAGCAGAGGAAAGUAAACUUCUUAUUUUUGCUCUUCUUUUCCUUUAAUGAAGUUAGCAUGUUAAUCAGCUAGCGCCAGCCCAGUUGGCUCAGCUUGUCGCUCUCUGAUACCGAGUCACUGCAGUGUUGGGGCUGCCUUGAAGAAAUAGCGUUGAUCAGAGGAGGUAUUAUAAGCUCUGGUCUUGUAAAUAUAAUGACAGCUGAAGCUCUUGGCGAGAUUGGUGCAUUAGUGUGUCUUGGCAUGGGUGCAGCUACAACACUCUUUCUACGAACACCUCCUCCUCCAUCCCCCACCCACAGAUCUCCUCAUCUCCCUGCCUCUCAGUACUUUUCCGUUCCGACCGACUCCUCUGCCAACUGCAUGUUUGCUGCCUGCCUCCAUCUCCACCCCCUGCAGUUUUGUGAUUUGAAGAGAGUGUUCACAGACAAUAUCAUCUCCAGUGAAACAGAAGUACAAAGUUGUUGAUGAGCUACCCCACCCCACAGGACAAAUGGGGACCACUUCAAGCCACAGGAAGACAGACUAAAUGAUAACAUAAAUACAAGUGUAAAACUAUGUGUAAAUAAAAGUAUAAAAAUAUUGACCAUAAGAGAUACUAAGUCUGAUAUUUUGUAAUGGCCUUUUAAGAAAGACAAUUUUAAAUGAGAAUAUGUCAGUUCACAAAAUAUUUGAAAACAUAACAGUCCAUCAAGCCUCAAGAGUCAAUGCUUACUCGUGCAUCUCGAAUCAUGGUACCAGCUGAGAGAAAGUAUUCUUUCUUGAAUCAUUCUCUAAUAACAUUCUGUUAGUGGCCAGUGGUCACUCAUUCACAUUUACAUUUAAAAUUUGGUUUUGUCCAAAGUUUUCAGUUUUCUGAGGAGACAAUGUUUUCAUGUUUUGAGCAUGACAAGAAUGAAACAACUGCAGUUGGGGUAUCGCCCCUUCUGCAUUGAGUUUGUGAAACAGUUCACUCAAUUAUCAGUCUUUUCCAUUUCAACCAACUGAGCCCCAGCUGACUGAAUGAGAUGCUGCCUGAUAUUUCAAUCCAACCAACACUGCUUCAAAUGCACACACACACCAGCGGACCAACUCCCCUACUCUAUAUCUGCUUUGGUCUCUCACAAAAUGAUCAUAGAGUAUUUGCUCAAUUCUGGCCAAUAUUCAUCUUAAUAUUCAGUUUGGUUAAGAGGGGUUACCUUAAUACCUUAAUCCUAAU